GACGAACGCUGGCGGCGUGCUUAACACAUGCAAGUCGAACGGAAAGGCCCGGCUUUUGUUGGUUUCUCGAGUGGCGAACGGGUGAGUAACACGUGAGUAACCUGCCCCUGACUUUGGGAGAACUCCAGGAAACUGGGGCGAAUACCGGAUAUGAUCUCCUGCUGCAUGGUGGUGGUUGGAAAGAUUCGGCUGUUGGGGAUGGACUCGCGGCUUAUCAGCUUGUUGGUGGGGUAGGGGCUUACCAAGGCUUCGACGGGUAGCCUGCCUGGGAGGGUGACCGGGCACAUGGGGACUGAGAUACGGCCCAGACUCCUACGGGAGGCAGCAGUGGGGAAUCUUGCACAGUGGGCGGAAGCCUGAUGCAGCAACGCCGCGUGCGGGAUGACGGCCUUCGGGUUGUAAACCGCUUUCGCCUGUGACGAAGCGUGAGUGACGGUACUGGGUAAAGAAGCCCCGGCUAACUACGUG
rnacentral:rRNA from 1 species